UAUUUUAUUGUUAAAUAAAAUAAAGAUUUGAAAAUAAUAUAAAAUAUUUAGUUGAGGGCUGUUUUGAUAUUUUAGAUAGUUUUGGGGGAGAAAGUGAGAUAAGAUAAGUAAUUAGAAAAAGAUAUAAAUAGGAGAAGACCUAAUAUUUUAGAAACUCAUUGUACGUGAAAACUUUUGGAAGAAGGGAGAAAAGCCAAGUCUAGAGGAAUCAAGGUAGAGUGCUGCGAUUUUCUUCAUUCAAGGUAAGGGUGAGACUAGUAAUUCAAUAGCAUUGAUUGUUGUAAUUCUGAUGAUUAAUUGACA
rnacentral:lncRNA from 1 species